ncrna:Thermobifida fusca YX ykkC-III RNA
CCCGAGCCUCAGCCCCGGACGAGGUGCGCCGUACCCGGUCAGGACAAGACGGCGCGGC